rnacentral:rRNA from 1 species
AGAGUUUGAUCAUGGCUCAGGACGAACGCUGGCGGCGUGCUUAACACAUGCAAGUCGAACGAUGAAGCCCAGCUUGCUGGGUGGAAGAGUGGCGAACGGGUGAGUAACACGUGAGUAACCUGCCCUUCACUCUGGGAUAAGCGCUGGAAACGGUGUCUAAUACUGGAUACGACCCUUACAGGCAUCUGUUGGGGGUGGAAAGAUUUAUCGGUGAAGGAUGGGCUCGCGGCCUAUCAGGUAGUUGGUGAGGUAACGGCUCACCAAGCCGACGACGGGUAGCCGGCCUGAGAGGGUGACCGGCCACACUGGGACUGAGACACGGCCCAGACUCCUACGGGAGGCAGCAGUGGGGAAUAUUGCACA